UAUACAAGCUCUUUUACAUGCUUGAUUUGCUGGCCCAUUCUCUUAUUUUAGUUGGUGGUUGAUGAUAUGUAAUUUUUUGCUGAAAAAUGAUGAUAUGUAAUUUACUCAUGGAACAAUGUGCAAAGAUCUUAGAUUAAACGUUUUGGGUAGAAA